rnacentral:rRNA from 1 species
UACGAGAGGUCCAAACGUUAUUCGGAAUCACUGGGCUUACAGAGUUCGUAGGCGGUACGGAAAGUGGGGUGUGAAAGCCCUCGGCUCAACCGAGGAACUGCGCUCCAAACUACCGUGCUAGAGGAAGAUAGAGGUGAGCAGAACUGAUGGUGGAAGCGGUGAAAUGCGUUGAUAUCAUCAGGAAUACCGGAGGUCGAAGGCGGCUCACUGGGUCUUUCUGACGCUGAGGACGAAAGCUAGGGAGCAAACGGGAGUUAG